GGACUCGCUUCAGUGGUACAGAUACUAAUAUUCGAACAAUACAGAGAAGAUAAGUGUGGUCACUGAGCAAGGAUGACACGUAAAAUAGUGAUGUGUCCCAUAUUCUU
rnacentral:snRNA from 1 species